UUUGUCAGUGGGUGGCAGAGAGGAGAGAGGGCAUGUCUGCUCAGUGUUCCGACCAGUGAACAUGUGAAUGCUUAGUAGCCUAACACU
rnacentral:snoRNA from 1 species